rnacentral:rRNA from 1 species
AUACGAAAGGUGCGAGCGUUGUUCGGAUUUACUGGGCGUAAAGCGAGUGUAGGUGGUUUGUUAAGUCGGAUGUGAAAUCCCGGGGCUCAACCUCGGAACUGCAUUCGAUACUGGCAGGCUAGAGUUCGGGAGGGGUAAGCGGAAUUCCGUGUGUAGCAGUGAAAUGCGUAGAUAUACGGAGGAACACCUGAGGCGAAGGCGGCUUACCGGACCGAUACUGACACUGAGACUCGAAAGCGUGGGUAGCAAACGGGAUUAGAAACCCUAGUAGUCC